rnacentral:rRNA from 1 species
UGACGGAGCAAUACCGCGUGAGGGAGGAAGGCUCUUGGGUUGUAAACCUCUUUUCUCAGGGAAGAAAAAAAUGACGGUACCUGAGGAAUAAGCAUCGGCUAACUCCGUGCCAGCAGCCGCGGUAAUACGGAGGAUGCAAGCGUUAUCCGGAAUGAUUGGGCGUAAAGCGUCCGCAGGUGGCAAUGUAAGUCUGCUGUUAAAGAGUGAGGCUCAACCUCAUAAGAGCAGUGGAAACUACAUAGCUAGAGUGCGUUCGGGGCAAAGGGAAUUCCUGGUGUAGCGGUGAAAUGCGUAGAGAUCAGGAAGAACACCGGUGGCGAAAGCGCUUUGCUAGGCCGCAACUGACACUGAGGGACGAAAGCUAGGGGAGCGAAUGGGAUUAGAUACCCCAGUAGUCCUAGCCGUAAACGAUGGAUACUAGGCGUGGCUUGUAUCGACCCGAGCCGUGCCGUAGCUAACGCGUUAAGUAUCCCG